AUUGGGUAGGGGAGCGUUCUGUAAGCCGUUGAAGGUGAAUCGUAAGGUUUGCUGGAGGUAUCAGAAGUGCGAAUGCUGACAUGAGUAACGACAAAGGGGGUGAAAAACCUCCUCGCCGGAAGACCAAGGGUUCCUGUCCAACGUUAAUCGGGGCAGGGUGAGUCGACCCCUAAGGUGAGGCCGAAAGGCGUAAUCGAUGGGAAACGGGUUAAUAUUCCCGUACUUCUGACUAUUGCGAUGGGGGGACGGAGAAGGCUAGGUGGGCCAGGCGACGGUUGUCCUGGUUCAAGUGCGUAGGCUUGAGAGUUAGGUAAAUCCGGCUCUCUCUAAGGCUGAGACACGACGUCGAGCUACUACGGUAGUGAAGUCAUUGAUGCCAUGCUUCCAGGAAAAGCCUCUAAGCUUCAGAUAGUCAGGAAUCGUACCCCAAACCGACACAGGUGGUCGGGUAGAGAAUACCAAGGCGCUUGAGAGAACUCGGGUGAAGGAACUAGGCAAAAUGGUACCGUAACUUCGGGAGAAGGUACGCUCUUGAUGGUGAAGUCCCUCGCGGAUGGAGCUGACGAGAGUCGCAGAUACCAGGUGGCUGCAACUGUUUAUUAAAAACACAGCACUGUGCAAAAUCGCAAGAUGACGUAUACGGUGUGACGCCUGCCCGGUGCCGGAAGGUUAAUUGAUGGGGUUAGCGCAAGCGAAGCUCUUGAUCGAAGCCCCGGUAAACGGCGGCCGUAACUAUAACGGUCCUAAGGUAGCGAAAUUCCUUGUCGGGUAAGUUCCGACCUGCACGAAUGGCGUAAUGAUGGCCACGCUGUCUCCACCCGAGACUCAGUGAAAUUGAAAUCGCUGUGAAGAUGCAGUGUACCCGCGGCUAGACGGAAAGACCCCGUGAACCUUUACUACAGCUUGGCACUGAACAUUGAACCUACAUGUGUAGGAUAGGUGGGAGGCUAUGAAGACGUGACGCCAGUUGCGUUGGAGCCGUCCUUGAAAUACCACCCUUGUAUGUUUGAUGUUCUAACUUAGACCCAUUAUCUGGGUUGAGGACAGUGCCUGGUGGGUAGUUUGACUGGGGCGGUCUCCUCCCAAAGAGUAACGGAGGAGCACGAAGGUGGGCUAAUCACGGUUGGACAUCGUGAGGUUAGUGCAAUGGCAUAAGCCCGCUUAACUGCGAGAAUGACGGUUCGAGCAGGUGCGAAAGCAGGUCAUAGUGAUCCGGUGGUUCUGUAUGGAAGGGCCAUCGCUCAACGGAUAAAAGGUACUCCGGGGAUAACAGGCUGAUACCGCCCAAGAGUUCAUAUCGACGGCGGUGUUUGGCACCUCGAUGUCGGCUCAUCACAUCCUGGGGCUGAAGUCGGUCCCAAGGGUAUGGCUGUUCGCCAUUUAAAGUGGUACGCGAGCUGGGUUUAGAACGUCGUGAGACAGUUCGGUCCCUAUCUGCCGUGGGCGUUGGAAGAUUGAAGGGGGCUGCUCCUAGUACGAGAGGACCGGAGUGGACGAACCUCUGGUGUUCGGGUUGUGUCGCCAGACGCAUUGCCCGGUAGCUAAGUUCGGAAUUGAUAAGCGCUGAAAGCAUCUAAGCGCGAAGCGAGCCCUGAGAUGAGUCUUCCCUGACAGUUUAACUGUCCUAAAGGGUUGUUCGAGACUAGAACGUUGAUAGGCAGGGUGUGUAAGCGUUGUGAGGCGUUGAGCUAACCUGUACUAAUUGCCCGUGAGGCUUAACCAUACAACACCCAAGGGGUUUUGUA
rnacentral:rRNA from 2 species